rnacentral:rRNA from 1 species
GGGGUAACGGCCCAACAAGCCUGUAAUCGGUACGGGUUGUGGGAGCAAGAGCCCGGAGAUGGAUUCUGAGACACGAAUCCAGGCCCUACGGGGCGCAGCAGGCGCGAAAACUUUACAAUGCGGGAAACCGUGAUAGGGGAACCCCGAGUGCCCGUAAAAUCGGGCUGUCCAUCUGUGUAAAUAACAGGUGAAGAAAGGGCCGGGCAAGACCGGUGCCAGCCGCCGCGGUAAUACCGGCGGCUCGAGUGGUGGCCACUAUUACUGGGCUUAAAGCGUCCGUAGCUGGAUUGUUAAGUCCCUUGGGAAAUCCACCGGCUCAACCGAUGGGCGUUCAAGGGAUACUGGCAAUCUAGGGACCGGGAGAGGUGAGAGGUACUCCAGGGGUAGGAGUGAAAUCCUGUAAUCCUUGGGGGACCACCUGUGGCGAAGGCGUCUCACCAGAACGGCUCCGACAGUGAGGGACGAAAGCUGGGGGAGCAAACCGGAUUAGAUACCCGGGUAGUCCCAGCUGUAAACGAUGCGCGUUAGGUGUAUCAGUGACCACGAGUCACUGAGGUGCCGAAGGGAAACCGUGAAACGCGCCGCCUGGGAAAGUACGGUCGCAAGGCUGAAACUUAAAGGAAUUGGCGGGGGAGCACCACAACGGGUGGA